rnacentral:rRNA from 1 species
CAGCAGCCACGGGAAUACGAAGGGGGCUAGCGUUGCUCGGAAUGACUGGGCGUAAAGGGCGCGUAGGCGGAUGGCACAGUCAGAUGUGAAAUUCCCGGGCUUAACCUGGGGGCUGCAUUUGAUACGUGUUGUCUAGAGUGAGGAAGAGGGUCGUGGAAUUCCCAGUGUAGAGGUGAAAUUCGUAGAUAUUGGGAAGAACACCGGUGGCGAAGGCGGCGACCUGGUCCUUUACUGACGCUGAGGCGCGAAAGCGUGAGGAGCAAACAGGAUUAGAUACCCCUGUAGUCCCUGUCUCUUAUAC